UACGGGGGGAGCAAGCGUUGUUCGGAUUUACUGGGCGUAAAGGGCGCGUAGGCGGUCAGCACAAGUCGGUUGUGAAAUCUCCGGGCUUAACUCGGAAAGGUCAACUGAUACUGUGCGACUAGAGUGCGGAAGGGGCGACUGGAAUUCUCGGUGUAGCGGUGAAAUGCGUAGAUAUCGAGAGGAACACCUGCGGCGAAGGCGGGUUGCUGGGCCGACACUGACGCUGAUGCGCGAAAGCCAGGGGAGCGAACGGG
rnacentral:rRNA from 1 species